rnacentral:lncRNA from 13 species
AUGAUGGUUUUUAAGUCACCAUUUUCUCUAGGUCCAUUUCAUUUUGUGAUUCUGUCAUCAGGUUUCUUUGGUGACAGGCUGGCUUCCUCCGUCUUUUUUCGGCAUUCUUGUCAUUUUAUAUCUGCUUUAUUCUUUAAUUUGAACUUGAAUCACAACAUGCUUGCUUUCCAUUUGCCCUUCUGCCAUGAUUGUAUGUUUCCUGAAGCCUCCCAGCCAUACUUCCUCCUGUACAGCCUCUGGAACUGGGUUCAAAUGCUUCUAUGCAGCCACUCACUCAGCAAAUGA